rnacentral:misc_RNA from 1 species
AAGCCAGCGGCUCCCAAGGCGGCAUCGAAAAAGGCUCCUGUUGCAAAGAAGACUCCUGCCAAAAGCGUGAAGGCGAAGAGCGUAAAGUCGCCAUCGAAGAGGGCUUCAGCUAGGAAGGGAAGGAAGUGAUGGUGGCGGAGGCAUACCAUAUGUUGUAGUGUUUGUAGGGUAGUUUUGUAAAUUCGGUGGCUUUGAGGUGAAUUUGGAUCC